AGGGCCGCACUUGCAGCAUAUGGAAGUUCCCAGGCUAGGGGUCUAAUCGAAGCUACUGCUGCCAGCCUACACCACAGCCACAGCAAUGCCAGAUCUGAGCUGCAUCUGCAACCUAUACCACAGCUCACAGCAACACUGGAUCCUUAACGCACUGAGCGAAGCCAGGGAUGGAACCUACAACCUCAUGGUUCCUAAUCGGAUUCUUUUGUGCUACACCAUGACGGGAACUCCCCCAUUUGAAUUCUUAUUGGUAAGGAUAAGUGUGUGAAAAAUGGAUGAAUGGCUGGCUGGCUGACUGGCUGGCUGGCUGGCUGGCUUGAUGGGUGGAUAAAUAAUGCCUCCUUAAAUGGUUUGUUUAUAGUAUUCAAUAGAAUAAUAUAUAUAAAAGAACCAAGCACAGAAUCAAGUUUGGUUAAAUGUUAGUCCACUUCCCUUUUUUUCUCUAUUAGUCUCCGUGCAGUAUUCCAUCCCUAUUUCCAGCCAUGGAAUGUCAAGGUCAAACCAUGGAAGGAUCAUGUAUUCCACUCUGUUGAAUUUGUACCUAACAUCACAGGCAAGGGGGAGGUACUUGACUCUGGGUCUUUUGUUUAGGAGAGAUGCUCUUGGCCAAUGUGUUAGGAAUUAAUUCUGGGGGUGAGAUCCCAGGACCCAAGAGGCUGCCUGCAGGUGUUAGAUAGGCAGGGGUGGGGCUUGCAAGGGGAACAGGUAAGGAUAUUCUGAGCCUGCACUGGAAUGAUGUGGACAAGGGACAAAUGUGAGGAUGAAUUUCCAGGCAGAACCAGUGGGCUGACAGGGGGAGUGGGACAGAGACCACCUUCUUGCUUGGCCUCAGCCUCUCAAAUUCUGCCAAAGUCUGAGGCAAAAGUGUCCUUUAGGUCUUUUUUUUUUUUUUGACACUGAAGGCAGAAAUAAUUUAAGUUUUGAUAGCUGAAAGCUCGCAACAAGUCCUGGCAUAGCAAGCUUCCAGCGCCUUUAAUCACUAAUGUCCUAGUGAGUAUGUACCUCUAUGGAGAAGGCGGAAAUGCCAAAGAGCAGAACUCCCCACGAGGAGACUAUUUUAAAAGGUACUUUUUUAAAAAGCCCGUUUUGUGGAAGAAACCAGCUGUCUCUUAAUUGCUAUCUGCACUGUGGUUUCUCCCGGGGGUUGGAGAGGGGAGUGGAUUAAAGAAAAAGUUUUGAAGGCCAUAGGCAUGCAUAUCCAAAUGAUAUGAAUUUUAAUAUGUACUUUUUAAAGGGUUAGGCAAUGAUGGAAAGAUAUGACAUUUUUUUCUUCUAUUUCUCUGUUCAAUUAAAAUUCCUACAAAAGUGCAGUGGCUACCUCUUUGGAAACACUGCAGAAUCUUAAACUUCGCAAAGAUGUUUAUCUUUCCCCGUCAUACAUCUAUGCCUAAGCCUUUGGAUGUGGGAGCCCAGGCUCCAAGUCAAUGGUGUGGCAAAGGCUUUGCACAUGUUUCCAAAGGUAGCUGGCUUGGAAUGAGCACCCUUCCAGUUAGGAAAGAAGCCACCAAGUUAUCUAAAUGAAACAGAAAGAUGCAUGAACUAUUCUCCUCACCCCAACUAGACAAGAAGGCUGAGCUCUCAAAACUUUAUCCAUAGUCCAUCAUUUAAGACUUUUCAAAUUAUCGACUAUAGCACUGCCUUUAAAAGAAAAUCAUUCCAAAAUAACGUAAAUCUCAUUCCCUUCUCAAGCCAUGCUUCUGAAUAGAACAGGCAAAAGGCAUGCAUCUAGAGUGUCAAAGAAAUGAAUCCCCAGUUUAUUGCUACUAUUCAUCUUGGUGAGUAAAUGGCCUCCAUACUAUUCUUCAUUCAUUAAAAAUGGUUCAUUUCCUUUGGCCUUUAUUCAUUGCCUAAUAUUCCUAAUGAACUUAAUGUAGCAAGUGAUGUAAUCAGACAAAAGAACUGUAAGAACCCUUUUCUGCCACUAUAAGCAGAAUUAAAUCAUAUUUAAUUAGGAAUUUAGUCUUUACCAAAAGUCUCCAUUAACUAUUCAUCACCCACACUGCUGUCUAUUCUCAGCAUCACUUCUCUCUCCUGCUGAAGUAGGAGAAAACCAGCAGUUCUGCGGCUUAGUUUUCCAUGUUGGACACAACCAUGAACCAAGCAGGUGCCUAACUAGUCCCUGCCAUGGUUAGUCACUGCACUGGCUGCCCCUUAAUCCUCCACAGCCAAGAUUACCCAGAGUGGUGUACAUGAGAGAGGAAAGAGGUAUGCCAGUGGUACCUGCUUCAUAACUAGAGCAGAGGGGACAGUCCGGCAAAACUGGGAAGAGUCCAGAGACAAUGACGUCUGGAUAUAUUUUGCUAAAAAUAUUCAUGGCACCGUAGCGAGGGUGAGAGAAUUCUACUUCCAGAAAGGGAAACUGAAAAUACAAAAAGGUGGUGAAUAAAAAAAAUCUGCAUCCCCUAAAAGCAUUAAGGAUUUCAAGAGGAGCAAACCACAGCUGGAGUGCCUGCCUGAAAGGUACGUCAGGCUCGAGAGUUUGUGCCAGACCCCAGAGGAGCAGGAAAGGCCUACGGGAUGUGUUCUGCCUUUGUUUGGUUUUGCUUUCUUAGCUAAAAUAAACAUGAGGGAAAAGGGGUUUUGAGAAACACGAUUUGGUACGAAAUAGUGCAGCUGGAGAAACAAUGAUCAUUCUGCAGCUGUCGGGUCAGGAGGCAGUCAGGUCCUGGACCAAGGUAGUAACAGCGAGGUACUGAGAAGGGGCUUUUGCAAGGGGCCCAAGGAGGAAGAACUGAUGAUGAGUCAGAGAUAAUUAUGGAGGUAGGAAAGGACAAAGAUGGGUAAAAACUGCCAGAUGCAUUUUGAACUGAUUCUUGCCCUCACCAUGUCUCUCCUUCCUCCCCAUCGACCAGGCUGCAGCCCCACAUCACCUUUCCUACACUGUCAUCUCAGAGCCACUCAGUGAGCAAGGCGCUCACCCCACUAAGCUCAUGCAGCACAUGGCCACAUGGCAUCUCUUCUUAGAUGGUCUCUGAACAGGUUUCCUAUUCAAUGUGGAUGCGACUAGAGAUUCUCAUACUAAGUGCAAUAAGUCAGAAAGAGAAAUACAAAUACCAUAUGAUGUCACUUAUAUGUGGAAUCUACAUUAUGGCACAAAUGAAACUAUCUACAAAACAGAAACAGACUCACAGACAUAGAGGAUGGACUUGUAGUUGCCAAGAGGGAGGGGGAGGAAGUGGGAUGGACUGGGAGUUUGGGGUUAGUAGACGCAAACUGUUACAUUUAGAAUGGAUAAGCCAUGAAGUCCUACCAUACAGCACAGGGAACUAUAUCCAGUUUCUUGGGAUAGACCUUGAUGGAAGAUAAGAAAGGGAAUGUGUAUCUAUCUAUCUAUCUAUCAAUCUAUAUAUCUAUAUAUUUAUCUAUAUCUAUCUCUAUGUCUGUCUGUCUGUCUGUCUAUCUAUCUAUCUAUCUAUGACUGGGUCACUCUGCUGUAUAGCAGAAAUUGGCACAACAGUGUAAAUCAACUAUACUUUAAAAGAAAAGAAAAAAAAAAGGAUUUGGCACAAUAGUGGUCUUCAAGUAUUUUCAAUAAGGGCUAAAGUCCUGGUUAAGUGAAUAAAAUCUCUCCUUUUUAGAAGUGCUCAAGAGUGACUCAAAAUGAUCAUUUUCUGUCCAGAGAUGCUUUCUGAUAAAGGUCAAACAAGCGUAAACCAAAAAAACUCUCCAUUUGAUUUGACAUUUCUAAAGAGAGCUGAGAAUCUUGGUCGAUGAUAACCUCCACUUUCCUUGUUCUGCUUCAUCAUCAGACCAUCAGGCAGGUACAAGACUUCUCACAGGUUUCAAAUAUGCAUUAUGUUGAGUUUUCUCAUUUAGUCAUGGGUAAAGGUAAUUUCUCACCAGGAAGAGGCCAAAUAUCAACCACUGGUUUGCAUAAAGGACAAACUCCCUAGGAUGCUACUCAUGCUCUGUGUCCAGUAAUAUAAUCUGUCUCAUGCUUGAAGGACACACUUGAAAUAAUUUUAUAUGGUGCUCACAUAUUAAUAAGCUAGUGGGAGCUCAAUGCACAGUCAAUUCUUCUGACUCUGGCAGAUCAUAUUUUAAGGUUUAUUAAGGGACAAGAGUAACUUGACAAUUGUGGCACAAGCAUCUCAAGUAUUUAGUUGAUAUCUCAAUAUUCUCUAUGUAUCUUAGAAGUCAAGAGACCUUAAGACUUGAAAAACACUACUCAGGCCCACUCCAGAUUAAGCUUGAAAAAGAGAAAUCUUGAACUGGUACCAAAGUGGUUGAGCAUCAGGAAUGAAUAGUAAAGCGUUCCCAUUGUGGCUCAGUGGGGUAAGAACCUAACUGGUAUCCAUGAGGUUGCAGGUUUGAUCCCUAGCCUCAGUGGAUUAGGGAUCCAGUGCUGCUGUGAGCUAUGGCAUAGGUUGUAGAUGUGGCUUAGAUCUGGCAUUUCUGUGUCUGUGGUGUAGGCCAGCAGCUGCAGCUCCAGUUCCACCCCUAGCCUGGGAAUUUCUACAUGCCACAAGUAGGAAGCCAAAGAAGAAGAAGAAAAAAAGAAAUGGAUAGUAAAAAUUUGCAGUUUCCUGGACAAAUCAAGCCUUUACCUCAUAGUUUUUAUUACUCUAGAUAAAGUUAAUUCAUCUAAUCAAACAGUGGCUGCAAAUGUAUUUAAAUAUAGGACACUUUCCAAAGCAAAACCAAAUUUAAAAAAUUAUGAAUCAUGCUCGAUUACCCAUGCAUUAAAUUUAAUUCAUCUCUGCAGAUAAUCUGGAUUUGACCAGCAGAGAGGAAAACGAUCCUAGAAUAUAUGGAUGCUGGAGGACCGCAAAAGGGCUGGUCUCCUUCCUCACAGGUGCCAAACCCUAGGAGGGAAUGAAUAAAGAAAAAAAGCCCCAAGGAGCUGAUUAAUGGGCAUCUCUUCCAGAGUGAUUCCUACCCCACCCCUGCCUGUGUGACCAUUAUGGACUUAUUAACAUUAAAGCAAUGCUAUUCAAACAGGUAUCAAAACAUUUUAAUUUGAUGGAACGCUGGAUGAAAUAUCAUUGCAACCUCUCAGCAAACUGAAACAAGCUGAGAUAAUUGCACUGCCAUGGAGAAGAGACUCAGCCUCCAGAUGCCACUUAAGGCCCUGAGUUUUGUCUUCUAAAAUUGCAUUAUUUGAUGUAAUAAUGGCCUAAUGUUGUGCUCAGAAUCAGCUCCCCCUGUAUUGUGGUACCCAGUGGAUGAUGGCAUUCCCUCUGCUCCAUUACAUCUUCCCAGGCUUAAUAUUAGCAUCAGUGACAAAGCCCAAGCUGAGGAGCUCCUGUCACUUACUGGCACUUCCUGGGGCAGCCCUGGUUCACCGAGGGCAGGGAGGGAGUGAGGGGUAAGAGACCAACAGGGUGGAGGCCAGAGGCCUGUCUCUCCAAAGAAUCAAGAGCUGGAACAAGAAAGUAACUUGAGAAAAGGUAUCAAACACAAGAGCCCAUCAAGGACAGAUGGCCAAACCAAAGUGAAGCCAUGUUGAGAAAAUAUAUGAAACCCUUCUUUUGCAUGUUUCUUCUUGCAUGUCUUUUCCAUUUCUGAAAAUAAAAGUGAAUAUCCUACUUUCUGAAUUUAGCUACCUUUUCCUUAUAUGCUACAUGCUAUAUCACAUCCUCCCGUGCCUUCAAUUUUUUUCAAUGGGACAGAAGGAAAUAUAGCAGUGCCUGCCUUCAGCAAGCUCAUCGCCAUGUUGGGGAUCCCAUGACUCUUCAUGUGAGAAGUGAGGUGGGCAUCUAAGGCGGUGUGCGGUCACCACAGUCAUUUACAGAAAGCCACUCCCUGAAGGUGACAGCAUGUGUAUGAAUGUCUAGGAAUUGAGGGAACAAGAGUGCCACAGUCCAGCAGGUAAAUCCAGGAAGUUUUAUUUGAAUAUAGUCACGCUCUCUUUUCCCAUGUUCAGUACCAAGGCCAUCUACUAAAUGUUCCCAAGGAUAGAUCUGGGACCUCAAGGAGGACACUGGGUUCUUUUAAACCACAACAAACUCUCUCCUCUUGCUUAUUUAGUUCUAUACGCUGUAGGGGCCUGGUAGGUGGCAGAGUUAUUAUAUCAAGACUUUUUUUUAACUAUAACCAUGCAUCUCAGUCUCCCAAAUUCCUCAGCAUUUCCACUCACAGAUGUUUCUUUUCUCAGCCUGUCCCCAUGAACCAGAAUGUCUUCUCCUUCUUUAAAUACACUGACUAGACGGGAGGCUCCU
rnacentral:lncRNA from 1 species